GACGAACGCUGGCGGUGUGCUUAACACAUGCAAGUGGUGCGACGAACCAGGCUUCGGCCUGGGGCAAAGCCGCGAACGGGUGAGUAACACGUGGGUAAUCUGCCCCGAUGACCGGGACAACCCGAGGAAACUCGGGCUAAUACCGGAUGUGGUGCCCCGACAUAAGUCUGGUCACUAAAGGUAGCUUCGGCUUCCGCAUUGGGAGGGGCCCGCGGCCCAUUAGCUUGUUGGUGGGGUCAAGGCCUACCAAGGCAACGAUGGGUAGCUGGUCUGAGAGGACGAUCAGCCACACUGGGACUGAGACACGGCCCAGACUCCUACGGGAGGCAGCAGUGGGGAAUCUUGCGCAAUGCGCGAAAGCGUGACGCAGCAACACCGCGUGAGGGAAGACGGCCUUAGGGUUGUAAACCUCUUUCAGAUGGGACGAAGGUUGUCCGGUGAAUAGCCGAGAUGAUUGACGGUACCGUCAGAAGAAGCUCCGGCUAACUACGUGCCAGCAGCCGCGGUAAAAC
rnacentral:rRNA from 1 species